rnacentral:tRNA from 1 species
CGGAGCGUAGCGCAGUUUGGUAGCGCACCUCGUUCGGGACGAGGGGGUCGGAGGUUCGAAUCCUCUCGCUCCGACCA